rnacentral:rRNA from 1 species
UACGUAGGGUGCGAGCGUUAAUCGGAAUUACUGGGCGUAAAGCGUGCGCAGGCGGAUAUGUAAGUUAGAAGUGAAAUCCCCGGGCUCAACCUGGGAAUGGCUUUUAAGACUGCGUAUCUAGAGUUUGUCAGAGGGGGGUGGAAUUCCAAGUGUAGCAGUGAAAUGCGUAGAGAUUUGGAGGAACACCAAUGGCGAAGGCAACCCCCUGGGAUAAAACUGACGCUCAUGCACGAAAGCGUGGGUAGCAAACAGGAUUAGAUACCCUGGUAGUCCACGCCCUAAACGAUGUCUACUUGCUGUUGGGGGCAACCUUAGUAGCGAAGCUAACGCGAGAAGUAGACCGCCUGGGGAGUACGGUCGCAAGAUUA